UACGGGGGGGGGCAAGCGUUGUUCGGAAUUACUGGGCGUAAAGGGCUUGUAGGUGGCCAACUAAGUCAGACGUGAAAUCCCUCGGCUUAACCGGGGGAACUGCGUCUGAUACUGGAUGGCUAGAGUGUGGGAGAGGGAUGCGGAAUUCCAGGUGUAGCGGUGAAAUGCGUAGAUAUCUGGAGGAACACCGGUGGCGAAGGCGGCAUCCUGGACCACGACUGACGCUGAGUGAGCGAAAGCCAGGGGAGCAAACGGG
rnacentral:rRNA from 1 species